rnacentral:rRNA from 1 species
UACGGGGGGAGCAAGCGUUGUUCGGAUUUACUGGGCGUAAAGGGCGCGUAGGCGGCGCAACAAGUCACUUGUGAAAUCUCCGGGCUUAACCCGGAGCGGCCAAGUGAUACUGUCGUGCUAGAGUGCGGAAGGGGCUACUGGAACUCUCGGUGUAGCGGUGAAAUGCGUAGAUAUCGAGAGGAACACCUGCGGCGAAGGCGGGUAGCUGGGCCGACACUGACGCUGAGGCGCGAAAGCCAGGGGAGCGAACGGG